ensembl:snRNA U2 U2 spliceosomal RNA
AUAAUUUUAACAUUAGCUUUUAUAAAAAAUUUUAAUCUGUUCUUAUCAGUAAACGUCCUUUAUCUGGCGACUAUAUAUUAAAUGCAUUUUUGGAACAGGGAGAAGAAAUAGGAGCUUGCUCCAGCCACUCCAUGCUUCAACCUGGUACUGCAGUAUCGCCAGGAAUGGUACACGUCAU